GCAAAGCCCAAGGCUCCGCCCGGUGCGUGCCCAAGGCCUGCCCGACGGAAACUCCUGCUGACCGGACGACGAGAGCAGGAGUGCCUGACACCAGUAAGAAAACGAAAAACACCAUCCAAACCAACAAAAACCCGAAGGAAGGCGGCCCUUUUGAACAGGAAGGUGGAGUGCGGCUUUACGUGUCUCCACUUAACACUGCCAGACAGUUCUGCAGCAACUGUGGGUUGCCCUAAAAAGGAAGGAAAGAUACAGGAUGAAUCUCUCGCGUUCAAACAGUUGAGAAGGCUCCUGUGGAAAAUAUAUACAACGUUAGAAAUCACA